rnacentral:antisense_RNA from 1 species
CUUCACCGACCCCAACCACAGCGGUCCGGAACGGUCCUGACCGUACGUCGCCAGCAGUGCCUGAGCCUC